GUAGUCAUAUGCUUGUCUCAAAGAUUAAGCCAUGCAUGUCUAAGUAUAAGCAAUUAUACGGCGAAACUGCGAAUGGCUCAUUAUAUAAGUUAUCGUUUAUUUGAUAGUACCUUACUACUUGGAUAACCGUGGUAAUUCUAGAGCUAAUACAUGCUUAAAAUCCCAACUUCGGAAGGGAUGUAUUUAUUAGAUUAAAAACCAAUGCCCUUCGGGGCUCCUUGGUGAUUCAUGAUAACUUCUCGAAUCGCAUGGCCUUGCGCCGGCGAUGGUUCAUUCAAAUUUCUUCCCUAUCAACUUUCGACGUUUGGAUAUUGGCCAAACAUGGUUGCAACGGGUAACGGGGAAU
rnacentral:rRNA from 1 species